rnacentral:rRNA from 1 species
ACAUACCUAUCGUUGCUUCGGCGGGAUCGCCCCGGCGCCAUCGCGGCCCGGACCCAGGCGCCCGCCGGAGGACCCAAACUCUUGAAUUUAUGAAGUAUCUUCUGAGUAAACAAGCAAAUAAAUUAAAACUUUCAACAACGGAUCUCUUGGUUCUGGCAUCGAUGAAGAACGCAGCGAAAUGCGAUAAGUAAUGUGAAUUGCAGAAUUCCGUGAAUCAUCGAAUCUUUGAACGCACAUUGCGCCCGCCAGUAUUCUGGCGGGCAUGCCUGUUCGAGCGUCAUUUCAACCCUCAAGCCCCCGGGCUUGGUGUUGGGGCUCGGCCCGUCCCUAGCGGCGCGCCGUCCCCGAAAUCUAGUGGCGGUCUCGCUGCAGCCUCCCCUGCGUAGUAGCUAACACCUCGCAACGGGAACUCAGCGCGGCCACGCCGUUAAACCCCCAACUUCUGAAAGGUUGACCUCGGAUCAGGUAGGAAUACCCGCUGAACUUAAGCAUAUCAAUAAGCGGAGGAAAAGAAACCAACAGGGAUUGCCCUAGUAACGGCGAGUGAAGCGGCAACAGCUCAAAUUUGAAAUCUGGCCCUCGGGUCCGAGUUGUAAUUUGUAGAGGAUGCUUUUGGUGCGGUGCCUUCCGAGUUCCCUGGAACGGGACGCCAUAGAGGGUGAGAGCCCCGUCUGGUUGGACACCAAUCCUCUGUAAAGCUCCUUCGACGAGUCGAGUAGUU